AGGGAUCAUUACCGAGUUUACAACUCCCAAACCCAAUGUGAACGUUACCAAACUGUUGCCUCGGCGGGAUCUCUGCCCCGGGUGCGUCGCAGCCCCGGACCAAGGCGCCCGCCGGAGGACCAACCAAAACUCUUAUUGUAUACCCCCUCGCGGGUUUUUUUAUAAUCUGAGCCUUCUCGGCGCCUCUCGUAGGCGUUUCGAAAAUGAAUCAAAACUUUCAACAACGGAUCUCUUGGUUCUGGCAUCGAUGAAGAACGCAGCGAAAUGCGAUAAGUAAUGUGAAUUGCAGAAUUCAGUGAAUCAUCGAAUCUUUGAACGCACAUUGCGCCCGCCAGUAUUCUGGCGGGCAUGCCUGUCCGAGCGUCAUUUCAACCCUCGAACCCCUCCGGGGGGUCGGCGUUGGGGAUCGGCCCUCCCUUAGCGGGUGGCCGUCUCCGAAAUACAGUGGCGGUCUCGCCGCAGCCUCUCCUGCGCAGUAGUUUGCACACUCGCAUCGGGAGCGCGGCGCGUCCACAGCCGUUAAACACCCAACUUCUGAAAUGUUGACCUCGGAUCAGGUAGGAAUACCCGCUGAACUUAA
rnacentral:rRNA from 1 species